GGAGAGAGGGGAGGGAAUCAGGAAAAUACCUUUUGAGAUCCACCCUUUCAGAGUGUCUUUCAGAACCCUGUGGGCCGGGAGUGGAGAGGUGGUGGUAGUCAGUUCUUCAGGGUAUGUGCAUGUGAUGUACCAUCCACUCAAUCAGUGACUUCCUAUGUAACCCCCUUUGACAACAUCUUUGAACUGCUUUACUUCCAUCAUUAAUGAUCUUCUUUCUGUCUGACUUCUUUAAAGUCAUUUUAAGAUUAUAUUUAAUAAAUAUCUUGUUCUUCUCUUGUC